rnacentral:rRNA from 1 species
GUGUCAGCCGCCGCGGUAAUACGUAGGGAGCAAGCGUUAUCCGGAAUUACUGGGUGUAAAGGGAGUGUAGGCGGGACUGUAAGUCAGAUGUGAAAUAUGCCGGCUCAACUGGCAGACUGCAUUUGAAACUGUGGUUCUUGAGUGAAGUAGAGGUAAGCGGAAUUCCUGGUGUAGCGGUGAAAUGCGUAGAUAUCAGGAGGAACAUCAGUGGCGAAGGCGGCUUACUGGGCUUUAACUGACGCUGAGGCUCGAAAGCGUGGGGAGCAAACAGGAUUAGAUACCCUGGUAGUCCACGCUGUAAACGAUGAUUACUAGGUGUGGGGGGACUGACCCCUUCCGUGCCGGAGCAAACGCAAUAAGUAAUCCACCUGGGGAGUACGGCCGCAAGGCUGAA